UGAGCUCCACCCGCCGCCUGUCCAAGGAGCUGCAGCUGAGGAACAAAGUGAAGCGGGAGCAGAAUGCCGGGCUGCAGCACCAGAGGCAGCGUUGGAAGGAGCGCAGCUCGGAGGCGGCGGUGCUGGAGAAGCGUGUCAGGGAGCUGCCAGAGCGCCUGGGGAGGAGAAAGGCAGCUCUGCCGCAGGAGGAGAAUGUACCGGUUUCUUCAGGUGGGAAUUGCCCACAGCCAGUGGCUUCUGCUCCAAGAGGAGUAGCAGCAGUAGGUCCUUCUAUCCAGUCCUCUGCUACACC